AUGCUGGAGGUAUCAGAAGUGCGAAUGCUGACAUAAGUAACGAUAAAGCGGGUGAAAAGCCCGCUCGCCGGAAGACCAAGGGUUCCUGUCCAACGUUAAUCGGGGCAGGGUGAGUCGACCCCUAAGGCGAGGCCGAAAGGCGUAGUCGAUGGGAAACAGGUUAAUAUUCCUGUACUUGGUGUUACUGCGAAGGGGGGACGGAGAAGGCUAUGUUGGCCGGGCGACGGUUGUCCCGGUUUAAGCGUGUAGGCUGGUUUUCCAGGCAAAUCCGGAAAAUCAAGGCUGAGGCGUGAUGACGAGGCACUACGGUGCUGAAGCAACAAAUGCCCUGCUUCCAGGAAAAGCCUCUAAGCAUCAGGUAACAUCAAAUCGUACCCCAAACCGACACAGGUGGUCAGGUAGAGAAUACCAAGGCGCUUGAGAGAACUCGGGUGAAGGAACUAGGCAAAAUGGUGCCGUAACUUCGGGAGAAGGCACGCUGAUAUGUAGGUGAAGUCCCUCGCGGAUGGAGCUGAAAUCAGUCGAAGAUACCAGCUGGCUGCAACUGUUUAUUAAAAACACAGCACUGUGCAAACACGAAAGUGGACGUAUACGGUGUGACGCCUGCCCGGUGCCGGAAGGUUAAUUGAUGGGGUUAGCGCAAGCGAAGCUCUUGAUCGAAGCCCCGGUAAACGGCGGCCGUAACUAUAACGGUCCUAAGGUAGCGAAAUUCCUUGUCGGGUAAGUUCCGACCUGCACGAAUGGCGUAAUGAUGGCCAGGCUGUCUCCACCCGAGACUCAGUGAAAUUGAACUCGCUGUGAAGAUGCAGUGUACCCGCGGCAAGACGGAAAGACCCCGUGAACCUUUACUAUAGCUUGACACUGAACAUUGAGCCUUGAUGUGUAGGAUAGGUGGGAGGCUUUGAAGUGUGGACGCCAGUCUGCAUGGAGCCGACCUUGAAAUACCACCCUUUAAUGUUUGAUGUUCUAACGUUGACCCGUAAUCCGGGUUGCGGACAGUGUCUGGUGGGUAGUUUGACUGGGGCGGUCUCCUCCUAAAGAGUAACGGAGGAGCACGAAGGUUGGCUAAUCCUGGUCGGACAUCAGGAGGUUAGUGCAAUGGCAUAAGCCAGCUUGACUGCGAGCGUGACGGCGCGAGCAGGUGCGAAAGCAGGUCAUAGUGAUCCGGUGGUUCUGAAUGGAAGGGCCAUCGCUCAACGGAUAAAAGGUACUCCGGGGAUAACAGGCUGAUACCGCCCAAGAGUUCAUAUCGACGGCGGUGUUUGGCACCUCGAUGUCGGCUCAUCACAUCCUGGGGCUGAAGUAGGUCCCAAGGGUAUGGCUGUUCGCCAUUUAAAGUGGUACGCGAGCUGGGUUUAGAACGUCGUGAGACAGUUCGGUCCCUAUCUGCCGUGGGCGCUGGAGAAUUGAGGGGGGCUGCUCCUAGUACGAGAGGACCGGAGUGGACGCAUCACUGGUGUUCGGGUUGUCAUGCCAAUGGCACUGCCCGGUAGCUAAAUGCGGAAGAGAUAAGUGCUGAAAGCAUCUAAGCACGAAACUUGCCCCGAGAUGAGUUCUCCCUGACUCCUUGAGAGUCCUGAAGGAACGUUGAAGACGACGACGUUGAUAGGCCGGGUGUGUAAGCGCAGCGAUGCGUUGAGCUAACCGGUACUAAUGAACCGUGAGGCUUAACCUUACAACGCCGAAGGUGUUU
rnacentral:rRNA from 1 species